rnacentral:rRNA from 1 species
AGAGUUUGAUCCUGGCUCAGGACGAACGCUGGCGGCGUGCCUAAUACAUGCAAGUCGAGCGGACGAAUCGAAAGCUUGCUUUUGAUUCGUUAGUGGCGGACGGGUGAGUAACACGUGGGCAACCUGCCCUGUAGACGGGGAUAACACCGAGAAAUCGGUGCUAAUACCGGAUAACACGAAAUGUCGCAUGACGUUUCGUUGAAAGACGGCGCAAGCUGUCGCUACAGGAUGGGCCCGCGGCGCAUUAGCUAGUUGGUGAGGUAACGGCUCACCAAGGCGACGAUGCGUAGCCGACCUGAGAGGGUGAUCGGCCACACUGGGACUGAGACACGGCCCAGACUCCUACGGGAGGCAGCAGUAGGGAAUCUUCCGCAAUAGACGAAAGUCUGACGGAGCAACGCCGCGUGAGCGAAGAAGGCCUUCGGGUCGUAAAGCUCUGUUGUUAGGGAAGAACAAGUAACGCAGUAACUGGCGUUACCGUGACGGUACCUAACGAGAAAGCCACGGCUAACUACGUGCCAGCAGCCGCGGUAAUACGUAGGUGGCAAGCGUUGUCCGGAAUUAUUGGGCGUAAAGCGCGCGCAGGCGGUUCCUUAAGUCUGAUGUGAAAGCCCACGGCUCAACCGUGGAGGGUCAUUGGAAACUGGGGGACUUGAGUGCAGAAGAGGAGAGCGGAAUUCCACGUGUAGCGGUGAAAUGCGUAGAGAUGUGGAGGAACACCAGUGGCGAAAGCGGCUCUCUGGUCUGUAACUGACGCUGAGGCGCGAAAGCGUGGGGAGCAAACAGGAUUAGAUACCCUG